rnacentral:rRNA from 1 species
GUAGGUGGCAAGCGUUGUCCGGAAUUAUUGGGGCGUAAAGCGCGCGCAGGUGGUUCGUUUAAGUCUGAUGUGAAAGCCCCCCCGGGCUCAACCCGGGGGAGGGGUCAUUGGAAACUGGGGAACUUGAGUGCAGGAGAGGAAAGUGGAAUUCCACGUGUAGCGGUGAAAUGCGUAGAUAUGUGGAGGAACACCAGUGGCGAAGGCGACUUUCUGGCCUGUAGCUGACACUGAGGCGCGAAAGCGUGGGGAGCAAACAGGAUUAGAUACCCUGGUAGUCCACGCCGUAAACGAUGAGUGCUAAGUGUUCGGGGGGGUUUCCGCCCCUCAGUGCUGCAGCUAACGCAUUAAGCACUCCGCCUGGGGAGUACGGUCGCAAAGACUGA